UCAUUGCUGGAACAAACGCCCUACGGGCGCUACCCAGAAACCCUUUGUGAAUUAUACCUUUUGUUGCCUCGGCAUUGGUUGGCUUCUUUGAAGUCCCGUACUAUUUAGUCCGGAGCAGACCGGCCGACGGCCCCUUUAACCUCUUGUUUUUGUAUUAUCUUCUGAGGAAAACAACUAUAAAUGAAUCAAAACUUUCAACAACGGAUCUCUUGGUUCUGGCAUCGAUGAAGAACGCAGCGAAAUGCGAUAAGUAAUGUGAAUUGCAGAAUUCAGUGAAUCAUCGAAUCUUUGAACGCACAUUGCGCCCAGUGGCAUUCCACUGGGCAUGCCUGUUCGAGCGUCAUUUCAACCCUCAAAAGCCUAGCUUUUGGUGUUGGAGGAGUACCUGUCACAGGGUACCCUCUGAAAUUUAGUGGCGGGCUCGCUAGAAUUUUGAGCGUAGUAAUUUUACCUCGUUUUUAAAGACUAGUGAGACUUCUAGCCGUAAAACCCCCCAACUUUCUGA
rnacentral:rRNA from 1 species